AUUGAACGCUGGCGGCAUGCCUUACACAUGCAAGUCGAACGGUAACGGGCCUUCGGGUGCCGCCGAGUGGCGAACGGGUGAGUAAUACAUCGGAACGUGCCCGAUCGUGGGGGAUAACGAGGCGAAAGCUUUGCUAAUACCGCAUACGAUCUACGGAUGAAAGCCGGGGACCGCAAGGCCUUGCGCGGACGGAGCGGCCGAUGGCAGAUUAGGUAGUUGGUGGGAUAAAAGCUUACCAAGCCGACGAUCUGUAGCUGGUCUGAGAGGAUGAUCAGCCACACUGGGACUGAGACACGGCCCAGACUCCUACGGGAGGCAGCAGUGGGGAAUUUUGGACAAUGGGCGCAAGCCUGAUCCAGCCAUGCCGCGUGCAGGAUGAAGGCCUUCGGGUUGUAAACUGCUUUUGUACGGAACGAAAAGCCUUCUUUUAAUACAGGAGGGUCAUGACGGUACCGUAAGAAUAAGCACCGGCUAACUACGUG
rnacentral:rRNA from 1 species